rnacentral:rRNA from 3 species
AUAACGACUCUCGGCAACGGAUAUCUCGGCUCUCGCAUCGAUGAAGAACGCAGCGAAAUGCGAUACCUGGUGUGAAUUGCAGAAUCCCGUGAAUCAUCGAGUCUUUGAACGCAAGUUGCGCCCGAGGCCUUCUGGUCUAGGGCACGCCUGCCUGGGCGUCACA